rnacentral:rRNA from 1 species
UACGUAGGGGGCAAGCGUUGUCCGGAUUUAUUGGGCGUAAAGAGCGUGUAGGCGGCCAGGUAGGUCCGUUGUGAAAACUCGAGGCUCAACCUCGAGACGCCGAUGGAAAACCAUCUGGCUAGAGUCCGGAAGAGGAGAGUGGAAUUCCCGGUGUAGCGGUGAAAUGCGCAGAUAUCAGGAGGAACACCGGUGGCGAAGGCGGCUCACUGGACCGGUACUGACGCUGAUGCGCGAAAGCGUGGGGGGAGCAAACGGG